UACGUAGGGGGCAAGCGUUGUCCGGAAUCAUUGGGCGUAAAGAGCUCGUAGGCGGUGUGUCGCGUCGGCCGUGAAAACCUGCAGCUUAACUGUGGGCUUGCGGUCGAUACGGGCAUCACUGGAGUUCGGCAGGGGAGACUGGAAUUCCUGGUGUAGCGGUGAAAUGCGCAGAUAUCAGGAGGAACACCGGUGGCGAAGGCGGGUCUCUGGGCCGAUACUGACGCUGAGGAGCGAAAGCGUGGGGAGCGAACAGG
rnacentral:rRNA from 1 species